UCCUUGUGUUUAGUAAGAAUGAUGGAAAAUAGAGGAAAGGAAAAUGCUAGGAGUGAAGUUACAAAUAAAAUUGUUAAUUUAAGUAGAAUGAGUAUAUCUUCUUUCACUUUUGGAAGAGUUGAAUUUGAAGGGAAG